GUUUCAAAACACAGGCUCUCCCUGUUUUGGAAAUGUGUCAUAUUCUCACCACUCCACAAGCAGUAAACCGUCGUACCGAUACGGCAGACAUGAGCGCUACCUAUAGCUUUCUCAUCGCAUCGGUAAACGAUCUCCGGAGAGAAAGCGGACGGACAGAUAGAUCGAACAACCAAUACACUGAUGCAACACACACAACACAACACAGAUUGGAAACAGCAGAUCAGUAGGGGAAAUAUUCUGUACCGACCGGCUGAUAGCAGGUAGUAUCCGUACACCAGCUAGGGAAUCCCCCAAACCAAACCGGAACGAAUGGCCCAAAAGUGUACCAGACGGCGUGACCCUUUACAACCCGACUGUUUAAAUAUUUGCAAAAUUUGUGUGACCUGUUGAUUUGUGUAUCGAGCCCUGAAGAUGGUCCAAUAGCCGGACCGAAACGUCGGCGAUGAUAGAAGAUUAAUCAACGCAAUUUAUUAGACUGAGAGCCGAAAAUUCCAAAGUCAACCAUCAUCCAGUCGAAACUUGUAAUCCAACAACAUGGCGGAAACACACACGUCUUUCUACACGAAA